AUUCCAAGUGUUCACUUUUCAUGGUCAUUUUGACUUUGGAGUGGAGCCGGAAGUCACACGGUGCCAGAUUCAGUGAGUACGGUGUUUGAGGACACAGCUUUCACCAUAUUAUUGAUCAUGCUUCUAAACACAUUCAUCAAAGAGGACUCCGGAGCUGCUCCAGAAAGUGGCCAGAAUGACGGGAGGAGCGUGUGCGAAGCCAGGGGGAAGAUUCUGAGGGUUAUUGUCAGUAAUGUGCUUUUUACUGCAAUACUUUUAAAAAAUUUAAAUAUUCAUUGCAUAGAUCGAUCACCCCUUGUAUGAUUAAAAGAUUCAAGAGAAAGCCUAGACAUGCGAGCUGCUGCUGCGAUCUUCAGAGUUCUUUGCCUAGAUACAAGCCCAGGAGAGCAGAAACAAACACUGAACUCGUAGCUGUCCACAGGGUUUGCAGCAGCACCGCACACAGAGCUGAGAGGCGGAAACCACCCAGACAGACACCCCUCAGCCAAGGAAGGGGUAGACAAAACGUUCUAGCUCUGCACCGCAUAUUACGCAACCAUAAAAAGGAACGAAGCUCACAUAGCCUGCAAGCUGAAUGAACCUCAGAAGCAUGCUAAGCCAGAUACAAACGAAGCAUGCUAAGCCAGAUACAAACGAUGACAUAGUAUGUGGCACCAUCCAUAGGAAACGUCUGGAACAGGGAACACCAAGGCAGCAGGAAGCAGAUUGGUGGUGGCCCCAGUGUCAGCUUUGCGUCUGGUCAAGACCUGUGAAAGGGACAUUAUGAAGCAACGAUGCGCAUGUGAAUUUUGUCUUUUGGUUCUUCUUCCUUAAAGGAAGACAGGAGCAAUACAUGGGUCAGUGCAGAGCUGAUGGUGCAACGGAAGAGUUAAAAACAGGGAGAGGACCUGGAAAGGGGCAUCGGACACAGCCAGGGAAAUUUAGAAGGAAAGACCCAGUGGCAGGGGAAGAAAACUGCAUGGGAAAAGAGGAAAAAGUGGAGACUGGAAAAGAAAUGGAGCUGCUGGCAGAGAUGGGCUCCACACAAAUGCAGCCUGGGAAUCGGCCCCUGGUGGGAAAUCAAAUAGCCCCAGGUCUGCCAGUUCAAGGGCGAGGUCCAGGAAAACUCCAGUUGGCCUUCAAGUCCCUGCGAGCAACAACUGUCCUCCAAAAACCGCAGCCCUGCUGGAGCCAAAGACAGCAGAUUCCACGCUGAUGUUCCAAGGCCAGGCUGGAAGGAGGUGCAGACAGCAGCUCACAGCAUGCACAGACUCAAAAACAAUCUGUUGAUCUGGCUAGACAUUAAUGAAAUGAAAGCUGUGUAGGUACCGGCACGUGGGUGAGAAGGGGUUUCAGGGUGCAGGUACCUUACAGUGUUUCAGCAAGGAGCACACCUACGAGGGACCUGCUAGUUCUUAAUGAUGAAAGCAUUCUUUCGCAGCAGCUUUCGCGUGCCUAAGUACACUUUCCUGGGGCCAGCUGUAGCCUUUGUAGCACCUCAUGCAAAAUUAAAAUGCAGUGCUCUGUGCUCAAAAAUGAUUAAGAAUUUCAA